UCCUUGUUAGUACAAUGGCUAGUAUAGGGCACUCUCACACUCCCCCACAGGGAGAGUAGCUGCUCAGAUCGGGGUUCAAUUCCCCGGCAGGGAA